AAACGCGAUAUGUGUACAUCAAACAAAUGAUGUGCUCGUAGUUGUUGGUAUGCUCGGUGAGUGUGUGCUGAUACAGAGGCUGAAUGACAGUCAGAGUAGCCGUCUCAAGGCAUACUGUCCGUAGCCCCCAUUUGUCUGCAAUAACGGACUGCUCCUUUCUCUUCAUCGAGCCCAUUACUUGGCCAUAAAGCGUGCGUCGCACGCCCCGCUACCCACCAGUCUGUCACAGACGCGAUCGCGUAUGUGCCGAUCGCACCCGUGGACACGCGUUACAGCAACGCACCGGCUCGACGGCCUGAGCGCGGCCUCUGCGCCAACCUCGACUCAUCAUCCACCGCCGCUGCGCAGGCUGCCUCACACCCGCGGCUCCCACCAUGCUGGCCGCCACCUGGCGCACCUCUCUCGGGGUCACACGCAGGCGUCCCGCACCAGUAGACCGUGUGAGGGCCGUGGGGCGGGAUGCGCUCGAGGCACGUUGGCGCUUCGCCCACCAUAUAGGUGGCACGAGCGUGCUCGCACCGUCUCGGGCCGCUCCGACGCAGCGCCGCCCAGGACCUGGCCGCCGACACCGGUUAGCCGUAAAGCGGCCCUGGCUUCGCCCUCUCCUAAUCACAGGUGGCUCGGCAGGGGCAAGGGAUAGCGGGGAGGGGGGAAGGGUGCCGCUUGGCUUUUCCAGAAAGAGCGGCGGUACUGAACUCUGAGAUGCGACGGUGAUUUGUUGCCCAACUGAAAAACCGAUAUGUUGAAGAACGAGAAGACAAAACCAGAUAGCUAUACGGAGAAAAACAGGCUUAGUGUCGACAGUUCAGCCCCUUCCUCGCCAUCCUUCUGCACGUAUCGUUCGCCAGCAUGUCACAUUCUUUUGCGUGCCCCCUUCUUCGGGUACCUGGGGCUACCGCUAUGGACUUGUGUAAGCCUUCCCUUCGCGAUGUGAGGUGAAAGCGUGUUUCUCUUUUUUCUCGUUCGGCUGCCGUCUCGCUUGUGGAGGAGCGUUUGCCCGCGGUGUGCGUAUGUUUGGUGUGAGGCCUGUGUGCGUUAAAAGUAGCCGUCGAUUGCUGCCCUCCCUGCCCCCGGACUUGAAUACACAAUGGGUAAAGGGAAAAAAAAACGAAGGAAAAGGCGCCACGAGGGCGCGAGGUUUUGUGGGCGUUUUGGGGGUAUGUCGGUGGAUGCAUUGGCCAUGGUGAUGACCGUUGCCUUGUGCAGUGUAGACGUCGGUGUGUUUGUGCAUACAUGAGGUACGUACCGGCCGGUGUUUUGUGCCCCUGACACAGCCGCACACGUAGGGGAUUCUAUGUGAACGGAACGGUGUGCCGCUGGUGGUGAUUCCACCCCACCCCACCCCCACCUCUCGCCCUCUUCCUGCUCCCCUCUCCAGCCCCUUUCCUCGCUUCUAAUGCACAUGGUCAUCAUCGAAUACGUAUGCGGUGAGCGGGUCGCCGCGAGAAAGUGUGUGCUGGAACAACGGAUUAGGCGAAGAGACGAGCCGAGAGCUCAGCGCCAUAAUCCCCCGACGCAAGCCCGUAGUAACUGAAAAGAAAACCAUGCUUGCACGACAAGGGGGGCGGGCGCUGCAGCUCACGUACGCGCAUCCACCAAGCCUUUGUCGACGGUUUCGUCAUUGCCACACUCGACAUUGAUGGACGGUGCGAGCUGAGAGGGUUGUGCACUGCCAUCGUCCAGCAUGCACGCUUCGGCCAUCCUAGUCGAGUGUACGCUUUUCUCGUUCUCCCUCUACCCGCAUGCUUCCACACAAGCAGACCACUACUUCAUCUGUGACAUGUCUUAUUCUCUCCAUCUUCCCCACCCCCUUUCUCUCUGCUUGCCUGCGUCGGUCGCACUGCCAUUGCAAG
rnacentral:misc_RNA from 1 species